GUGCUCAUUUCGGCAUCAUAUAUACUAAAUUUGGAACGAGACAGAGAAGAUUAGCCUGGCCCCUGUGCAAAGG
rnacentral:snRNA from 1 species